rnacentral:rRNA from 1 species
UCCCCCCCUUUUUUUUCAAAACAUGGUCUUUUGUUUAUAUAAAAGAUCUGACCUGCCCUAUGAUUUAUUUAAAUGGCUGCAGUAUUUUGACUGUACAAAGGUAGCAUAAUCAUUUGUCUUUUAAUUGAAGGCUGGUAUGAAUGGUUGGAUGAGAAAUAUACUUUCUUUAUUUUAUAUAAAAAAUUUAAUUUUCUAGUCAAAAAGCUAGGAUAUAUUUAUAGGACGAGAAGACCCUAUAGAGCUUUAUUUUCUUUUUAUAUAAAUUUUUUAGGUUUUUAUAAGAUUAUAUAUUAAUGUUAAUUUUAUUGGGGUGAUGGAAAAAAUGAUAUAACUUUUUCUAUUUUAUGCAUUUAUUUAUGCUUUUUUGAUCCUUUAAUAUGGAUAAUAAGAUUUAGUUACCUUAGGGAUAACAGCGUUAUUUUCUUGGAGAGUUCUUAUUGAUAAGAAAGUUUGCGACCUCGAUGUUGGAUUAAAAUAAGUGACAGGGGCAAAAUAUUGUUUACUAGGUCUGUUCGACCUUUAAAUUUUUACAUGACGGUUUUUAAA